AGAGUUUGAUCCUGGCUCAGGAUGAACGCUAGCUACAGGCUUAACACAUGCAAGUCGAGGGGCAGCAUGGACUCAGCUUUGCUGGGUUUGAUGGCGACCGGCGCACGGGUGAGUAACGCGUAUCCAACCUGCCCUUUACUCCGGGAUAGCCUCCUGAAAGGGAGUUUAAUACCGGAUGUGUUUGUCUUUCCGCAUGGGAGCGACAAAUAAAGAUUAAUUGGUAAAGGAUGGGGAUGCGUCCCAUUAGCUUGUUGGCGGGGUAACGGCCCACCAAGGCGACGAUGGGUAGGGGUUCUGAGAGGAAGGUCCCCCACAUUGGAACUGAGACACGGUCCAAACUCCUACGGGAGGCAGCAGUGAGGAAUAUUGGUCAAUGGGCGGGAGCCUGAACCAGCCAAGUAGCGUGAAGGACGACGGCCCUACGGGUUGUAAACUUCUUUUAUAAGGGAAUAAAGUUCGCCACGUGUGGUGUUUUGUAUGUACCUUAUGAAUAAGCAUCGGCUAAUUCCGUGCCAGCAGCCGCGGUAAUACGGAAGAUGCGAGCGUUAUCCGGAUUUAUUGGGUUUAAAGGGUGCGUAGGCGGAAGAAUAAGUCAGCGGUGAAAUGCUUCAGCUCAACUGGAGAAUUGCCGAUGAAACUGUUUUUCUAGAGUAUAAAAGAGGUAUGCGGAAUGCGUGGUGUAGCGGUGAAAUGCAUAGAUAUCACGCAGAACCCCGAUUGCGAAGGCAGCCUGCUAGGGUGCGACAGACGCUGAGGCACGAAAGCGUGGGUAUCGAACAGGAUUAGAUACCCUGGUAGUCCACGCAGUAAACGAUGAAUACUAACUGUUCGGAGGGCGACCUCUGAGUGGUAAAGCGAAAGCGUUAAGUAUUCCACCUGGGGAGUACGCCGGCAACGGUGAAACUCAAAGGAAUUGACGGGGGCCCGCACAAGCGGAGGAACAUGUGGUUUAA
rnacentral:rRNA from 1 species